AAAGCAAUGUUUUUUCCCUGCUUAAGUCUUUCAUCUCUUUUGCUAAAACUCAGUUUAACACUGCGGUCCAGACUGUUAGAAGUGACAAUGCCUUAGAAUUAGGAUACAGCAUUGAGGGCAUAUUUUUUUUUAGUAGCCAGGGGAUUAUUCAUCAAACCUCCUGCCCUCAUUCACCUCAACAGAAUGGGUUGUUGAAAGAAAACACAAAACACUUCUUGAAACAUGUAGAGCCCUGCUUUUUCACUGGCUUACCUGUGUCUUUCUGGGGGGAUUGUAUGUUAACUGCCACCUAUCUUCUUAACAGAAUACCUUCCAGAAUCCUUCACCAUAAGUCUCCUCAUGAAAUUUUGUAAGGCAAGGCUCCAUCCUAUUCUUAUUUGAGGGCAUUUGGAUGCCUUGCUUAUGCUGCUGUCCCUAUUCCUCAAAGGCACAAGCUGAAACCUAGAGCCCAUUCUUGUGUUUUUCUGGGUUACCCCUUUGCCAAGAAGGGUUAUAAACUGUAUAAUUUGGUUUCCAAAAAGUUUUUUGUCUCAAGGGAUGUUAUCUUCCAUGAAACGUAUUUCCCUUGUAAGAAUAAACCUUCUUCUGCUCACCCUUCUUCUUCAUCUUUUCCUUUUAUUCCUCCUGCUGAUGAUUUCACUGACACUGACUUUCCUAUACCUGCUUCUCCUGAUUCUCAUGUUCCUCAUUCUCCUUCUGCUUCUCCUGUCCCUGAUUUUCCUGAUGCUGGUCCAUCUUUCAAUCAUGAUCUCCCUACUCCUAUGUUACCUCCUUCACAUCCUCUUCCCACACCUAGAAAGUCCACUAGACAGCAUAAUCCUCCUUCCUACCUUAAGGAUUAUGUCUGUCAACUUCCUGCCCUAGAAAGUCCACUAGACAGCAUAAUCCUCUUUCCUAUCUUAAGAAUUAUGUCUGCCAACUCCCUGCCUUUUCUGGUUCCUCUUCUUCUACUUUGAAAUCUGAACCUUUGUAUUACUCUCAAGCUGCAUCUGUCCCAGCAUGGCAGGAUGCAAUGAGACAGGAGUUUGAUGCUUUGGAAGCUAAUCAUACCUGGGAUGUUGUUCCUCUUCCUCCUGGUAAGAAACCCAUUGGCUGUAAAUGGAUCUAUAAAAUCAAAUACAAGUCUGAUAGUCUUGUUGAAAGGUAUAAAGUAAGGCUUGUUAUUAGGGGUGAUACACAAGUUGAGGGGAUUGAUUUUACUGACACUUUUUCUCCAGUGAUUAAGAUGACUACUGUGAAAUGCUUGAUUGCUGUGGCUGUCUAAUAUCACUGGCCUCUAUUUCAGCUUGAUGUCAAUAAUGCUUUUCUCCAUGGUGAUUUGGAUGAGGAAGUUUACAUGAAACUUCCUCCAGGUUUGAUAGUUUCUGCUCUUAUUUCUGGUUCUAUUUCUCCUCCUUCUUCUAGUUCUUCUCCUCUGGUAUGUAAACUCAAGAAAUCCCUAUAUGGGCUAAGACAAGCAUCCAGACAAUGGUAUGCCAAGUUGUCUUCUGCUCUUUAUUCCAGAGGGUACAAACAUUCUUUAAAUGACUAUUCUUUGUUCAUCAAAGGUAAACAUGGCUCCCUUGUGGUGGUGGCAGUCUAUGUGGAUGAUAUUAUCCUUACUAGGGAUGACAGUGAUGAAAUUACUACACUGAAACUGUUUCUGGAUGAUCAGUUUAAGAUCAAAGACUUGGGAUCUUUGCAUUAUUUUUUGGGUCUUGAAAUGUCAGUUGUUCCUGGUGGAAUGAUCCUUAAUCAGCAUAAGUAUAUUUCUGAUUUACUGCAUCAGUUUGAUUGUGCAAAUGUCUCCUCGGAUGACAGUGAUGAAAUUACUACACUGAAACUGUUUCUGGAUGAUCAGUUUAAGAUCAAAGAUUUAGGGUCUUUGCAUUAUUUUUUAGGUCUUGAAAUGUCAGUUGUUCUUGGUGAAUGACCCUUAAUCAGCAUAAGUAUAUUUCUGAUUUACUGCAUCAGUUUGAUUGUGCAAAUGUCUCAUUUGUUGUUUCUCCUUUGGACAUUAAUGUCAAACUUCAUGCUGAUUCUGGUGAUCUUUUAUCCUCUCCUGACCAGUACAGGAGUCUAGUUGGUAAGAUGUUGUUUCUGACUCAUACUAGGCCUGACAUAUGCUUUGCAGUCCAACAU
rnacentral:lncRNA from 1 species